rnacentral:rRNA from 1 species
AUUGAACGCUGGCGGCAGGCCUAACACAUGCAAGUCGAACGGUAACAGGAAGAAUCUUGCUUCUUUGCUGACGAGUGGCGGACGGGUGAGUAAUGUCUGGGAAACUGCCUGAUGGAGGGGGAUAACUACUGGAAACGGUAGCUAAUACCGCAUAACGUCGCAAGACCAAAGAGGGGGACCUUCGGGCCUCUUGCCAUCGGAUGUGCCCAGAUGGGAUUAGCUAGUAGGUGGGGUAACGGCUCACCUAGGCGACGAUCCCUAGCUGGUCUGAGAGGAUGACCAGCCACACUGGAACUGAGACACGGUCCAGACGCCUACGGGAGGCAGCAGUGGGGAAUAUUGCACAAUGGGCGCAAGCCUGAUGCAGCCAUGCCGCGUGUAUGAAGAAGGCCUUCGGGUUGUAAAGUACUUUCAGCGGGGAGGAAGGGAGUAAAGUUAAUACCUUUGCUCAUUGACGUUACCCGCAGAAGAAGCACCGGCUAACUCCGUG